UGGGGGAUAUUGCACAAUGGGCGAAAGCCUGAUGCAGCGAUGCCGCGUGAGGGAAGAAGGUCUUCGGAUUGUAAACCUCUGUCAUCAGGGACGAUAAUGACGGUACCUGAGGAGGAAGCUCCGGCUAACUACGUGCCAGCAGCCGCGGUAAUACGUAGGGAGCGAGCGUUGUCCGGAAUUACUGGGUGUAAAGGGAGUGUAGGCGGGACAGUAAGUCAGGUGUGAAAUUUAUGGGCUCAACCCAUAACCUGCAUUUGAAACUACUGUUCUUGAGUGAAGUAGAGGUUGGCGGAAUUCCUAGUGUAGCGGUGAAAUGCGUAGAUAUUAGGAGGAACAUCAGUGGCGAAGGCGGCCAACUGGGCUUUUACUGACGCUGAGGCUCGAAAGCGUGGGGAGCAAACAGG
rnacentral:rRNA from 1 species